GAGUUUNNNNNCUGGCUCAGGACGAACGCUGGCGGCGUGCCUAAUACAUGCAAGUCGAGCGGUCCCUUCGGGGAUAGCGGCGGACGGGUGAGUAACACGUAGGCAACCUGCCUGUAAGAUUGGGAUAACUAUCGGAAACGAUAGCUAAGACCAGAUAACUGGUUCUCUCGCAUGAGGGAAUCAUGAAACACGGGGUAACCUGUGGCUUACAGAUGGGCCUGCGGCGCAUUAGCUAGUUGGUAGGGUAACGGCCUACCAAGGCGACGAUGCGUAGCCGACCUGAGAGGGUGAUCGGCCACACUGGGACUGAGACACGGCCCAGACUCCUACGGGAGGCAGCAGUAGGGAAUCUUCCGCAAUGGACGCAAGUCUGACGGAGCAACGCCGCGUGAGUGAUGAAGGUUUUCGGAUCGUAAAGCUCUGUUGCCAGGGAAGAACGCCUAGGAGAGUAACUGCUCUUAGGGUGACGGUACCUGAGAAGAAAGCCCCGGCUAACUACGUGCCAGCAGCCGCGGUAAUACGUAGGGGGCAAGCGUUGUCCGGAAUUAUUGGGCGUAAAGCGCGCGCAGGCGGUCAUUUAAGUUUGGUGUUUAAGCCCGGGGCUCAACCCCGGAUCGCACUGAAAACUGGGUGACUUGAGUGCGGGAGAGGAAAGUGGAAUUCCACGUGUAGCGGUGAAAUGCGUAGAGAUGUGGAGGAACACCAGUGGCGAAGGCGACUUUCUGGACCGUAACNGACGNNA
rnacentral:rRNA from 1 species